rnacentral:rRNA from 1 species
UACGUAGGUGGCGAGCGUUAUCCGGAAUUAUUGGGCGUAAAGAGCGCGCAGGUGGUUGAUUAAGUCUGAUGUGAAAGCCCACGGCUUAACCGUGGAGGGUCAUUGGAAACUGGUCGACUUGAGUGCAGAAGAGGGAAGUGGAAUUCCAUGUGUAGCGGUGAAAUGCGUAGAGAUAUGGAGGAACACCAGUGGCGAAGGCGGCUUCCUGGUCCGUAACUGACACUGAGGCGCGAAAGCGUGGGGAGCAAACAGGAUUAGAUACCCGCGUA